UCCGGUCAAGCCAACUUGGUGGAGGCACGUGGCUGUUAACCAUGGUACGACAGGUUCGAAACCUGUGGCCGGAGC
rnacentral:tRNA from 1 species